CGGUUAAAUGAGGGUUUAACUGUCUCCUGUAGCCAAUCAAUGAACUUGAUCUCACAGUACAAAUGCUGUGAUAUAACUAUAAGACGAGAAGACCCUGUGGAGCUUUAAACCUACCACAUUAACUAAUUAACCUAAACUACUAUUAGUAUAACUGUAAGUUUUAAGUUGGGGCGACUAUGGAGUAAAAAUUAACCUCCAUGCAAUACGAUUAAACCUCGUUAUAUACGGCUAACAAGCCUAGUCAAAAUACACGACCCAGUCAAACUGAUUAUCGGACCAAGUUACCCCAGGGAUAACAGCGCCAUCCCCUUAAAGAGUCCACAUCGCCAAGGGGGUUUACGACCUCGAUGUUGGAUCAGGACACCCAAGUGGUGCAGCAGCUACUAAAGGUUCGUUUGUUCAACGAAUAAUGUCCU
rnacentral:rRNA from 1 species